rnacentral:rRNA from 1 species
GAUGAACGCUAGCGGCAGGCCUAAUACAUGCAAGUCGAACGGUAGACUACUUUCGGGUAGUUGAGAGUGGCGCACGGGUGCGUAACGCGUAUGCAACCUACCUUGUACAGGGGGAUAGCCCGGAGAAAUUCGGAUUAAUACCCCAUAGCAUUACCAGAUGGCAUCUGAAGGUAAUUAAAGAUUUAUCGGUACAAGAUGGGCAUGCGUGACAUUAGUUAGUUGGUAGGGUAACGGCCUACCAAGACUAUGAUGUCUAGGGGUUCUGAGAGGAUGAUCCCCCACACUGGUACUGAGAUACGGACCAGACUCCUACGGGAGGCAGCAGUAGGGAAUAUUGGUCAAUGGGCGAGAGCCUGAACCAGCCAUGCCGCGUGCAGGAAGACGGCCUUCUGGGUUGUAAACUGCUUUUAUACGGGAAGAAAAGACC